rnacentral:rRNA from 1 species
UACAGAGGGUGCGAGCGUUAAUCGGAAUUACUGGGCGUAAAGCGUGCGUAGACGGUUAUCUAAGUCGGAUGUGAAAGCCCCGGGCUCAACCUGGGAAUUGCAUUCGAGACUGAAUAGCUAGGGUACGGUAGAGGGAAGUGGAAUUUCCGGUGUAGCGGUGAAAUGCGUAGAUAUCGGAAGGAACAUCAGUGGCGAAAGCGACUUCCUGGACCAGUACCGACGUUCAGGCACGAAAGCGUGGGGAGCAAAUGGG